rnacentral:sRNA from 1 species
AGAUUCCUUGAUGGCCAUUGAAAAAUUAGCUGGUGCCUGUAUUUCAGGCUUAUUGUUUCCUAGGAUCUCAGGGAGAUCAGGCCACGUGGUCUGUGGAUUAAUUAAGGCACCCAGAUAAUUGGCUAUUAAUAGAUGGCCAAUUGAUGGCUGCCAGCUGGGUGCUGAAUUGACUAAUGUCCUUAUGGUGGGCAGGUGGUCUUUAUCAGAAGAGGAGCUAGCUGAAAGACUUUACUAAUUAAAGGGUGAAUCAGGAAAAGAAGAUAAGAGGUAGCUUUUUUCCCCACCACUUGGUGUGAUGUUUUACGGUUUACAAAGCAUUUAUAUCCACAAAUGCCUCAUUUGAUCCUUACUGCGACCUUGUGAGCCUUCAGACGCUGACUGGGACGACCUGUGGGACCAGUUUGAUGAGCGGCGGUAUCUGAAUGCCAAAAAGUGGCGCGUUGGUGACGACCCCUAUAAGCUGUAUGCUUUCAACCAGCGAGAGAGUGAGCGGAUCUCCAGCAAUCGGGCCGUCCCGGACACUCGCCAUCUGAGAUGCACGCUGCUGGUGUAUUGCACGGACCUU